GAUGAACGCUGGCGGCGUGCCUAAUACAUGCAAGUCGAGCGAACAGACGAGGAGCUUGCUCCUCUGACGUUAGCGACGGACGGGUGAGUAACACGUGGAUAACCUACCUAUAAGACUGGGAUAACUUCGGGAAACCGGAGCUAAUACCGGAUAAUAUAUUGAACCGCAUGGUUCAAUAGUGAAAGACGGUUUUGCUGUCACUUAUAGAUGGAUCCGCGCCGCAUUAGCUAGUUGGUAAGGUAACGGCUUACCAAGGCAACGAUGCGUAGCCGACCUGAGAGGGUGAUCGGCCACACUGGAACUGAGACACGGUCCAGACUCCUACGGGAGGCAGCAGUAGGGAAUCUUCCGCAAUGGGCGAAAGCUUGACGGAGCAACGCCGCGUGAAUGAUGAAGGUCUUCGGAUCGUAAAACUCUGUUAUUAGGGAAGAACAAAUGUGUAAGUAACUAUGCACGUCUUGACGGUACCUAAUCAGAAAGCCACGGCUAACUACGUG
rnacentral:rRNA from 1 species